rnacentral:rRNA from 1 species
AUUGAACGCUGGCGGCAUGCUUUACACAUGCAAGUCGAACGGUAACAGGCCGCAAGGUGCUGACGAGUGGCGAACGGGUGAGUAAUGCAUCGGAACGUGCCCAGUCGUGGGGGAUAACGCAGCGAAAGCUGCGCUAAUACCGCAUACGAUCUAUGGAUGAAAGCGGGGGACCGUAAGGCCUCGCGCGAUUGGAGCGGCCGAUGUCAGAUUAGGUAGUUGGUGGGGUAAAGGCUCACCAAGCCAACGAUCUGUAGCUGGUCUGAGAGGACGACCAGCCACACUGGGACUGAGACACGGCCCAGACUCCUACGGGAGGCAGCAGUGGGGAAUUUUGGACGAUGGGCGCAAGCCUGAUCCAGCAAUGCCGCGUGCAGGAUGAAGGCCUUCGGGUUGUAAACUGCUUUUGUACGGAGCGAAAAGGCUUCCACUAAUACUGGGGGCUCAUGACGGUACCGUAAGAAUAAGCACCGGCUAACUACGUGCCAGCCGCCGCAGUAACAC